AUACUUAUCUGGCAGGGGAGAUACCAUGCUCAUGAAGGUGGUUUUCCCAGGCUGAUGCUUAUCCAUUGCACUCCAGAUGAGCUGACACAUGCGAUUUCCCCAAAUAUGGGAAACUUGAUUGCAUAAUUCGUGGUGGUGGGGGACUGUGUUCACACUUUCCCCUG
ensembl:snRNA U1 U1 spliceosomal RNA